rnacentral:rRNA from 1 species
AUUGAACGCUGGCGGCAGGCCUAACACAUGCAAGUCGAGCGGGGUUUUCGGACUUAGCGGCGGACGGGUGAGUAAUGCGUAGGAAGCUACCCGAUAGAGGGGGAUACCAGUUGGAAACGACUGUUAAUACCGCAUAAUGCCUACGGACCAAAGUGUGGGACCUUCGGGCCACAUGCUAUCGGAUGCGCCUACGUGGGAUUAGCUAGUUGGUGAGGUAAUGGCUCACCAAGGCGACGAUCCCUAGCUGGUUUGAGAGGAUGAUCAGCCACACUGGAACUGAGACACGGUCCAGACUCCUACGGGAGGCAGCAGUGGGGAAUAUUGGACAAUGGGCGCAAGCCUGAUCCAGCCAUGCCGCGUGUGUGAAGAAGGCCUUCGGGUUGUAAAGCACUUUCAGUAGGGAGGAAGCGUUGUGUGUUAAUAGUACACAGCGUUGACGUUACCUACAGAAGAAGCACCGGCUAACUCUGUGCCAGCCGCCGCCGUAAAAC